AGACAGCAGUCGCCGCGGUAACACGUAGGUGGCAAGCGUUGACCGGAAUUAUUGGGCGUAAAGGGCUCGCAGGCGGUUUCUUAAGUCUGAUGUGAAAGCCCCCGGCUCAACCGGGGAGGGUCAUUGGAAACUGGGAAACUUGAGUGCAGAAGAGGAGAGUGGAAUUCCACGUGUAGCGGUGAAAUGCGUAGAGAUGUGGAGGAACACCAGUGGCGAAGGCGACUCUCUGGUCUGUAACUGACGCUGAGGAGCGAAAGCGUGGGGAGCGAACAGGAUUAGAUACCCCCGUAGUCCCUGUCUCUUAUAC
rnacentral:rRNA from 1 species